GACAGAGGGUGCAAACGUUGUUCGGAAUUACUGGGCGUAAAGCGCAUGUAGGCGGCCACGCAGGUCGGAUGUGAAAUCCCUCGGCUCAACCAAGGAAGUGCAUUCGAAACCGCAUGGCUGGAGUCCCGGAGAGGAAGGCGGAAUUCUCGGUGUAGAGGUGAAAUUCGUAGAUAUCGAGAGGAACACCGGUGGCGAAGGCGGCCUUCUGGACAGUGACUGACGCUGAGACGCGAAAGCG
rnacentral:rRNA from 1 species